rnacentral:rRNA from 1 species
ACGUAGGGGGCAAGCGUUGUCCGGAAUCAUUGGGCGUAAAGAGCGCGUAGGCGGCCCAGUAAGUCCGCUCUGAAAGUCAGGGGCUCAACCCCUGGAUGCGGGUGGAUACUGCUGGGCUAGAGUCCGGAAGAGGCGAGUGGAAUUCCUGGUGUAGCGGUGAAAUGCGUAGAUAUCAGGAGGAACACCUGUGGUGUAGACGGCUUACUGGACCAUGACUGACGCUGAGGCACGAAAGCGUGGGGAGCAAACAGGA